rnacentral:rRNA from 1 species
UACAGAGGUCUCAAGCGUUGUUCGGAUUUACUGGGCGUAAAGGGCGCGUAGGCGGUCAGCACAAGUCAGUUGUGAAAUCUCCGGGCUUAACCCGGAAAGGUCAACUGAUACUGUGCGACUAGAGUGCGGAAGGGGCAACUGGAAUUCUCGGUGUAGCGGUGAAAUGCGUAGAUAUCGAGAGGAACACCUGCGGCGAAGGCGGGCUGCUGGGCCGACACUGACGCUGAUGCGCGAAAGCCAGGGGAGCGAACGGG